rnacentral:rRNA from 1 species
AUUGGGACUGAGAUACGGCCCAGACUCCUACGGGAGGCAGCAGUGGGGAAUAUUGCACAAUGGGCGCAAGCCUGAUGCAGCGACGCCGCGUGCGGGAUGACGGCCUUCGGGUUGUAAACCGCUUUUGACUGGGAGCAAGCCCUUCGGGGUGAGUGUACCUUUCGAAUAAGCACCGGCUAACUACGUGCCAGCAGCCGCGGUAAUACGUAGGGUGCAAGCGUUAUCCGGAAUUAUUGGGCGUAAAGGGCUCGUAGGCGGUUCGUCGCGUCCGGUGUGAAAGUCCAUCGCUUAACGGUGGAUCCGCGCCGGGUACGGGCGGGCUUGAGUGCGGUAGGGGAGACUGGAAUUCCCGGUGUAACGGUGGAAUGUGUAGAUAUCGGGAAGAACACCAAUGGCGAAGGCAGGUCUCUGGGCCGUCACUGACGCUGAGGAGCGAAAGCGUGGGGAGCGAACAGGAUUAGAUACCCUGGUAGUCCACGCCGUAAACGGUGGAUGCUGGAUGUGGGGACCAUUCCACGGUCUCCGUGUCGGAGCCAACGCGUUAAGCAUCCCGCCUGGGGAGUACGGCCGCAAGGCUAAAACUCAAAGAAAUUGACGGGGGCCCGCACAAGCGGCGGAGCAUGCGGAUUAAUUCGAUGCAACGCGAAGAACCUUACCUGGGCUUGACAUGUUCCCGACAGCCCCAGAGAUGGGGCCUCCCUUCGGGGCGGGUUCACAGGUGGUGCAUGGUCGUCGUCAGCUCGUGUCGUGAGAUGUUGGGUUAAGUCCCGCAACGAGCGCAACCCUCGCCCUGUGUUGCCAGCACGUCGUGGUGGGAACUCACGGGGGACCGCCGGGGUCAACUCGGAGGAAGGUGGGGAUGACGUCAGAUCAUCAUGCCCCUUACGUCCAGGGCUUCACGCAUGCUACAAUGGCCGGUACAACGGGAUGCGACCUCGUGAGGGGGAGCGGAUCCCUUAAAACCGGUCUCAGUUCGGAUUGGAGUCUGCAACCCGACUCCAUGAAGGCGGAGUCGCUAGUAAUCGCGGAUCAGCAACGCCGCGGUGAAUGCGUUCCCGGGCCUUGUACACACCGCCCGUCAAGUCAUGAAAGUGGGUAGCACCCGAAGCCGGUGGCCCAACCUUUUUGGGGGGAGCCGUCUAAGGUGAGACUCGUGAUUGGGACUAAGUCGUAACAAGGUAGCCGUACCGGAAGGUGCGGCUG